UACGUAGGGUGCGAGCGUUGUCCGGAAUUAUUGGGCGUAAAGGGCUCGUAGGCGGUCUGUCGCGUCGGGAGUGAAAACUCAGGGCUUAACCCUGAGCCUGCUUCCGAUACGGGCAGACUAGAGGUAUGCAGGGGGAGAACGGAAUUCCUGGUGUAGCGGUGGAAUGCGCAGAUAUCGGGAGGAACACCAGUAGCGAAGGCGGCACCCGUGGGCCGGUACUGACGCUGAGGAGCGAAAGCGUGGGGAGCAAACAGGG
rnacentral:rRNA from 1 species